rnacentral:rRNA from 1 species
UACGGAGGAUCCUAGCGUUAUCCGGAUUUACUGGGUUUAAAGGGUGCGUAGGCGGGCGCUUAAGUCCGCGGUGAAAGUCUGCGGCUCAACCGUAGGAUUGCCGUGAUACUGGGCGUCUUGGAUUCGGUCGGGGCGGGCGGAAUGCGUGGUGUAGCGGUGAAAUGCAUAGAUAUCACGCAGAACGCCGAUAGCGAAGGCAGCUCGCCGGGCCGACAUCGACGCUGAGGCACGAAAGCGUGGGGAUCAAACAGG